AUUGAACGCUGGCGGCAUGCUUUACACAUGCAAGUCGGACGGCAGCACAGAGAAGCUUGCUUCUUGGGUGGCGAGUGGCGAACGGGUGAGUAACAUAUCGGAACGUACCGAGUAGUGGGGGAUAACUGAUCGAAAGAUCAGCUAAUACCGCAUACGUCUUGAGAGGGAAAGCAGGGGACCUUCGGGCCUUGCGCUAUUCGAGCGGCCGAUAUCUGAUUAGCUAGUUGGUGGGGUAAAGGCCUACCAAGGCGACGAUCAGUAGCGGGUCUGAGAGGAUGAUCCGCCACACUGGGACUGAGACACGGCCCAGACUCCUACGGGAGGCAGCAGUGGGGAAUUUUGGACAAUGGGCGCAAGCCUGAUCCAGCCAUGCCGCGUGUCUGAAGAAGGCCUUCGGGUUGUAGAGGACUUUUGUCAGGGAAGAAAAGGCUGUUGCUAAUAUCAUCAGCUG
rnacentral:rRNA from 1 species